rnacentral:rRNA from 1 species
AUUGAACGCUGGCGGCAGGCCUAACACAUGCAAGUCGAGCGGGGUUUUCGGACCUAGCGGCGGACGGGUGAGUAAUGCGUAGGAAGCUGCCCGAUAGAGGGGGAUACCAGUUGGAAACGACUGUUAAUACCGCAUAAUGUCUACGGACCAAAGUGUGGGACCUUCGGGCCACAUGCUAUCGGAUGCGCCUACGUGGGAUUAGCUAGUUGGUGAGUAAUGGCUCACCAAGGCGACGAUCUCUAGCUGGUUUGAGAGGAUGAUCAGCCACACUGGAAGUGAGACACGGUCCAGACUCCUACGGGAGGCAGCAGUGGGGAAUAUUGGACAAUGGGCGCAAGCCUGAUCCAGCCAUGCCGCGUGUGUGAAGAAGGCCUUCGGGUUGUAAAGCACUUUCAGCGAGGAGGAAGGGUUAGUCGUUAAUAGCGGCUAAUUUUGACGUUACUCGCAGAAGAAGCACCGGCUAACUCUGUGCCAGCAGCCACCGCCGUAA